rnacentral:rRNA from 1 species
CGCAGUAUUCUAAGGCGAACGAGAGAACUAGAGUUAAGGAACUCGGCAAAAUACAUACGUAACUUCGGGAUAAGUAUGACCAGUGAAAGCUGGUGUCACAAGAGAGGUUCGGGCGACUGUUUACCAAAAACACAGGUCUCUGCUAACUCGCAAGAGGAGGUAUAGGGGCUGACGCCUGCCCGGUGCUGGAAGGUUAAGAGGAUUGGUUAGCUGUUAAAGGCGAAGCUGAGAAUUGAAGCCCCAGUAAACGGCGGCCGUAACUAUAACGGUCCUAAGGUAGCGAAAUUCCUCGUCGGGUAAUUUCCGACCCGCACGAAUGGCGUAACGAUCUGAACACUGUCUCAACUCUAGACUCGGUGAAAUUGAAGUAUCGGUGAAGAUGCCGAUUACCCACAGUUAGACGGAAAGACCCCGUGAACCUUUACUGUAACCUGAUAUGGGAAUUUGGAUUAUAAUGCGUAGGAUAGGUGGGAGACUUAGAUCCGUGGGCUUUGGCUUACGAGGAGUCGUUGGUGAAAUACCACCCUUUAUGAUUUAGAUUUCUAACCGAUACCGUGAGCCGGUAUUGGGACAGUGUCAGGCGGGCAGUUUGGCUGGGGCGGUCGCCUCCUAAAGAGUAACGGAGGCGCGCGAAGGUUACCUUAUCAUGGUUAGACAUCAUGAGGAAAGUGCAAAGGCAGAAGGUAGCUUGACUGCAAGACGCAACAGGUCGAGCAGGUACGAAAGUAGGUCUUAGUGAUCUGGCGGUAGCGAGUGGAAGCGCCGUCACUUAACGGAUAAAAGGUACUCCGGGAUAACAGGCUGAUUUCACCCAAGCGUCCAUAGCGACGGUGAAGUUUGGCACCUCGAUGUCGGCUCAUCGCAUCCUGGGGCUGUAGCAGGUCCCAAGGGUAUGGCUGUUCGCCAUUUAAAGCGGUACGUGAGCUGGGUUCAGAACGUCGCGAGACAGUUCGGUCCCUAUCUGCUGUGGGCGUUGGAUAUUUGAGAGAAUCUGCUUCUAGUACGAGAGGACCGAAGUGGACAAACCUCUGGUUUACCUGUUGUUCCGCCAGGAGCAUCGCAGGGUAGCUAAGUUUGGAAGGGAUAACCGCUGAAAGCAUCUAAGUGGGAAGCCCAUCUCGAGAUGAGAUAUCCCUAGCCCUUUAAGGGCUCUAAAGAACCCGUAUAGAACAUGCGGUUGAUAGGCUGGAGAUGUACGCAUAGCAAUAUGUUUAGUCGACCAGUACUAAUGAGUCGUGAGGCUUGACCAU